ACCUCUAAUCAAAGGUACUAGCCUGAAGUGGGUAGACUGAGUGAAAGAUACCUCAUUUCAACACUGAGGUCUUGGUAUCGAUCCCUUGUGGGGGUGGCUAACAGUGAAGUGUGAACUAACAGUGGGUGGUACUAACAAGCUAACAAAAAAAAAAGGGUUAUAGCCUGAAGAAAGCCAUUUCCAUUUCAAUGUCGAGAUUUACAACUUUGAAUCCGCUCCACAACUACAGGAAUAUCAUUUUCGGUCAGUGUUGUAAAACAGCACCGAAACCGUCCAGGUUCAAUACAGUGGCAAGAUGACCUGGGGAGUUACAUUGAUCUUCACUUCCUUCAGCAGUUUUUUCCACAGCUCGAGCUCCCCUUUCUCGCUAUAAGAGCAGAUUCGCUAUGGAAUUAGGCAGCAUGCCUUUGAAACUAUUGUUAUGAAAUCCAAAAUUUAUCUCUUAUUGGCAUACAUCAGGACUCCAACGAUAAUUUUGGCUUGUAUCACAUUCCCUUCCAGCCUGCAUGUCCAACUAGUUGAGAUUCAACCGCCAAAUCCACAAUCAGCCAAUGAUUCUUACUUUGUCAUCUUCUCUGCCAACAAUUGACUGACGAUCGAGUAGAGACCCUGUCUCUCGCUCUUUGAUCUCACCCCGCCUCACUUCACUAUCCACUCUCUCCCUCUCUCCACUAUCUACUCUAAGACCCAAUAGGUUCUUCUCUUUUUCGAUGUCAUCUAAUCUACCCCUCACCUCUUUUUAUCCUACUCCCAAUUUUAUGGUGUAACACGACAUUAUUGAAGCAGUUAACGGGCGAGAGGAAGCCUUUGAAUAUUGAAAUAACAUGCAAUUUUCAGAGCCGAGAGCAGAAAUAACAUGCCAUUGGAAGCAUAAAAACAUCAAAAGCAGGCAAAAAGUUUUUUUUUUUUUCCUUCUGGUAAGUAACAUACCAAAAGAAAUUGAAACAAUCCCUGUUGGGGCUUCAGAUAGACACCCCCUAUUAUGUACGAGCUGGCAUUCAAAAUCACAGUGUAAGUAACAGAAGGUCAUGUUAAUGUUACGUUACAAUCUAACAUAUAAAAAAAUCAUCCCAAAAUUACCACCUGUUGAAGGAAGGUAAAGUGCUGAAUGCCAACAACACAUAAAUCUAUAGGAGCCUGAAGAUGAAAAGGUACCACACAAAGAUUUCACCAAAAGAAUUUUUU